AUGAACGCUGGCGGCGUGCCUAAUACAUGCAAGUCGAGCGAACAGACGAGGAGCUUGCUCCUCUGACGUUAGCGGCGGACGGGUGAGUAACACGUGGAUAACCUACCUAUAAGACUGGGAUAACUUCGGGAAACCGGAGCUAAUACCGGAUAAUAUAUUGAACCGCAUGGUUCAAUAGUGAAAGACGGUUUUGCUGUCACUUAUAGAUGGAUCCGCGCCGCAUUAGCUAGUUGGUAAGGUAACGGCUUACCAAGGCAACGAUGCGUAGCCGACCUGAGAGGGUGAUCGGCCACACUGGAACUGAGACACGGUCCAGAUUCCUACGGGAGGCAGCAGUAGGGAAUCUUCCGCAAUGGGCGAAAGCCUGACGGAGCAACGCCGCGUGAGUGAUGAAGGUCUUCGGAUCGUAAAACUCUGUUAUUAGGGAAGAACAAAUGUGUAAGUAACUAUGCACGUCUUGACGGUACCUAAUCAGAAAGCCACGGCUAACUACGUG
rnacentral:rRNA from 1 species